GGGUGACAUGAUGGCAUACCAUCUUUCGGGACUGACUCUUGAAAUGGAGACGUUUUACUCUUUUACUGAUCACCU